rnacentral:rRNA from 1 species
GAUGAACGCUGGCGGCGUGCCUAAUACAUGCAGGUCGAGCGAACAGAUAAGGAGCUUGCUCCUUUGACGUUAGCGGCGGACGGGUGAGUAACACGUGGGUAACCUACCUAUAAGACUGGGAUAACUUCGGGAAACCGGAGCUAAUACCGGAUAACAUUUGGAACCGCAUGGUUCUAAAGUGAAAGUUGGUUUUGGUAUAAGUAAUAGAGGGCCCCCCGCCGUAUUAGCUAGUGGUUAAGGUCACGCCUUACCAAGGCAACGAUACGUGGCCGACCUGAGGGGGUGAUCGGCCACACUGGAACUGAGACACGGUCCAGACUCCUACGGGAGGCCGCAGUAGGGAAUCUUCCGCAAUGGUCGAAAGCCUGACGCAGCAACGCCGCGUGAGUGAUGAAGGGUUUCGGCUCGUAAAACUCUGUUAUUAGGUAAGAACCAACGUGUAAGUAACUGUGCACGUCUUGACGGUACCUAAUCAGAAAGCCACGGCUAACUACGUG